GGCGCGGUGGCGAAGUGGUAACGCGGGAGUCUGCAAAACUUCUAUCGCAAGGGUUCGAUUCCCUUCCGCGCCU
rnacentral:tRNA from 1 species